AGCGGAGGCGUCCGCGGCAGGCACUUAACCCGCGAGCAGGGCUCUGCCUCGCCGCGGGUGGCCAGCGCUGCCCUCAGCAGCCCGAGUGUGCAGCCGGGUCCUGGAUGGUGAAGCGGGCGAGUAAGGGCUGCCAAAGCUCCCAGAGCACGGGACCUCCCACCUGGCCUCGAGGAACCCAGGGAACACCCAGGACCCACAGGCGUGUCUGUGUCUGCUGGACCCAGAGGCCAGCCUUCCACACCUGGGAAUGUGACUGCACAUCCGACCGAUGGAGCAGGCUGGGCCAGCAAACCCUCCGGGAGAUGCCGUGAAGGCUGGAUCUGUGCAGCCUUCCUGUUCACAAGGGGCAGCCUUUUCAGAACCACAGGAGGCCACAGCCAGAGGGAGCUGGCCGUGCCGCACUCUGACCCUCUGGGGAUGCAGGUGAGGCCAGCGAGCCAAGGUCAGAGGGGUCGCAAGUGACUGGGCAGCACUGUGGACUCAGGGCUUCAAACAGCGCAGUGUGCUCAGAGGUCAGCCCAUGGCAACUGGGAAUCUUUGAAGGGGCCUCGGUUGUCACAGCAAAGGGGUGCCGCCAUCACUAAGGGGCAGAGGCAGGGGCACAGGGCUCCCCACCACCCAGGGAAACGUGACUCAGACAUUGCAGGAUGAGGCAGGACAGACUCCUGCCAAGGGAAGUCCUUGGCCUUGGGGUCCCCGAUGCUGAGGACCUGCGUGCAGUGGGGCUCCCGGCCCAUCAGACCCCCGACAGCCUGCAGCACCCUCACCCCGAGCUCCCAACACCCCCUCCACGUGGGAGCCCAGCAGAGAACCCCACGUUCAACCUUGAGAAGUGGGGCGCCCCCCUCGCCGCUGCGAGCGCGGUUCAUAUCUAAUAAUGCAAUUUAUAUUCCACUCUCCACAUAAACUAGGGCAGGCGCGCUAACGUAAAAAUACAUCUGGCUUGUCAACAGUUUAUCUUCUGGUCCGCACCGGAUCCGCGGGCCUUUCUGACUUAUGGCUGCACCACUGGCUAAUGAAUAAAAAGGUGCAAAUUAUA